GGACUACCGGGGUAUCUAAUCCCGUUUGCUCCCCUGGCUUUCGCGCCUCAGCGUCAAUACCGGUCCAGGAUGCCGCCUUCGCCACCGGUGUUCCUCCAGAUAUCUACGCAUUUCACCGCUACACCUGGAAUUCCACAUCCCUCUCCCGGAUUCAAGCCUUCCAGUAUCAGACGCAGUUCCCGGGUUGAGCCCGGGGAUUUCACGUCUGACUUAGAAGGCCGCCUACGCGCCCUUUACGCCCAGUAAUUCCGAACAACGCUUGCCCCCUCUGUAUUACCGCGGCUGCUGGCAC
rnacentral:rRNA from 1 species